CCAGACUCCUACGGGAGGCAGCAGUGGGGAAUAUUGCACAAUGGGCGCAAGCCUGAUGCAGCCAUGCCGCGUGUAUGAAGAAGGCCUUCGGGUUGUAAAGUACUUUCAGUCGGGAGGAAGGUGGUAAGGUUAAUAACCUUAUCAAUUGACAUUACCGACAGAAGAAGCACCGGCUAACUCCGUGCCAGCAGCCGCGGUACUACGGGGGGUGCAAGCGUUAAUCGGAAUUACUGGGCGUAAAGCGCACGCAGGCGGUCUGUCAAGUCGGAUGUGAAAUCCCCGGGCUCAACCUGGGAACUGCAUUCGAAACUGGCAGGCUGGAGUCUUGUAGAGGGGGGUAGAAUUCCAGGUGUAGCGGUGAAAUGCGUAGAGAUCUGGAGGAAUACCGGUGGCGAAGGCGGCCCCCUGGACAAAGACUGACGCUCAGGUGCGAAAGCGUGGGGAGCAAACAGGAUUAGAUACCCCGGUAGU
rnacentral:rRNA from 1 species